rnacentral:rRNA from 1 species
GAUGAACGCUGGCGGCGUGCCUAAUACAUGCAAGUCGAGCGAACAGAUGAGGAGCUUGCUCCUCUGACGUUAGCGGCGGACAGGUGAGUAACACGUGGAUAACCUACCUAUAAGACUGGGAUAACUUCGGGAAACCGGAGCUAAUACCGGAUAAUAUAUUGAACCGCAUGGUUCAAUAGUGAAAGACGGUUUUGCUGUCACUUAUAGAUGGAUCCGCGCCGCAUUAGCUAGUUGGUAAGGUAACGGCUUACCAAGGCGACGAUGCGUAGCCGACCUGAGAGGGUGAUCGGCCACACUGGAACUGAGACACGGUCCAGACUCCUACGGGAGGCAGCAGUAGGGAAUCUUCCGCAAUGGGCGAAAGCCUGACGGAGCAACGCCGCGUGAGUGAUGAAGGUCUUCGGAUCGUAAAACUCUGUUAUUAGGGAAGAACAAAUGUGUAAGUAACUAUGCACGUCUUGACGGUACCUAAUCAGAAAGCCACGGCUAACUACGUG